rnacentral:lncRNA from 1 species
GUGCAAAAAGGCAUAAAAUGAAAAAGACAGGGCCUCUGUCACGCAGGCUGGAGUGCAAUGGCACGAUCAUCACUCACUGCAGCCUCAAAUUCCUGGACUGAAGUGAUCCUCCUGCCUCAGCCUCCCAAGUACCUAGGACUACAGGUGCAAGCCACCAUACCUGGCUAGUUUUUUUACUUUUCCAUAGAGAUGAGGUCUCCAAACCUAUGUUGCCCAGGCUGGUCUCAAAUUCCUGGGGUCAAGUGAUGUUUCCACCUCAGCCUCUCACAGUGCUGGGAUUAUAGUUGUAAGCCUCCACACCCAGCCUUAUUUCAUUUUUUAAAGAUAGGGUCUCACUCUGUUGCCCAGGCUGGAGUGCAAUGGCAUGAUCAUACCUCACUGAGGACUUAAACUCCUGGUCUCAAGCGAUCUUCCUGCCUCAGUCUCCUA